rnacentral:rRNA from 1 species
AACAACUCACCUGCCGAAUGAAUUAGCCCUGAAAAUGGAUGGCGCUAAAGCGGGCUUCCGAUACCUUACCGUUUGGGCGACUUUGCUUCCAAAUGAGUAGGAGGGCGUGGCGGUUGUAACGAAGCGCAUGUGCAAACGUGCGUGGAACGGCCCCCAGUGCAGAUCUUGGUGUUAGUAGCAAAUAUUCAAAUGAAAACCUUGAAGGGCGAAGCGGGGAAGGGUUCCACGCGAACAUUGAUUGAGCGUGGGUGAGUCGUUCCUAAACCUCGUGGUAAUCGCUAAAAACAGGUGAAAGGGAAGCAGGUUGACAUUCCUGCACAUGGAUGUGGCUUGCGGUGACGCACCAUCGGCGGCAAUUACGCUUGCGGUGGAUCUAGGCAGAGUUUUCUUUUCUGUUUAACCAAAUCUCAAUAUACUCUGUGGAAUCCGCUUGUCGGGAGAAACAGGUACAGUUGGGCAAAGCGCCGGGGUUUUUCCGGCGUCUAGAUCUCCACCGAGGGCCCUUGAAACAUUGUCUGCUGGCAAAAAGGCUUGUUAAGCCCUUUUGUGGAAAAAAACCACGCCAUAACGUACCCAUAACCGCAUCAGGUCCCCAAGGUGAACAGCCUCUGCUCAAUAUGAUCAAU